rnacentral:tRNA from 1 species
GGCAGGGUAGCUCAGUUGGUAGAGCNNAGUGGACUCAUAAGCCAUUGGUCGGCGGUUCAAAUCCGCCCCCUGCCACAA